GAUCAUGGCUCAGGAUGAACGCUAGCGACAGGCUUAACACAUGCAAGUCGAGGGCAGCAUAAAAGUAGCAAUACUUGGUGGCGACCGGCGCACGGGUGAGUAACGCGUAUGCAACCUACCUAUCAGAGGGGAAUAACCCGGCGAAAGUCGGACUAAUACCGCAUAAAACAGGGGCACCGCAUGGUGAUAUUUGUUAAAGAAAUUCGCUGAUAGAUGGGCAUGCGUUCCAUUAGGUAGUUGGUGAGGUAACGGCUCACCAAGCCGACGAUGGAUAGGGGAACUGAGAGGUUGGUCCCCCACACUGGUACUGAGACACGGACCAGACUCCUACGGGAGGCAGCAGUGAGGAAUAUUGGUCAAUGGGCGGGAGCCUGAACCAGCCAAGUCGCCGUGAAGGAAGAAGGAUCUAUGGUUCGUAAACUUCUUUUGCAGGGGAAUAAAGUGCAGGACGUGUCCUGUUUUGUAUGUACCCUGAGAAUAAGGAUCGGCUAACUCCGUGCCAGCCGCGGC
rnacentral:rRNA from 1 species